CCUACGGGAGGCAGCAGUGGGGAAUUUUCCGCAAUGGGCGAAAGCCUGACGGAGCAACGCCGCGUGAGGGAUGAAGGCCUCUGGGCUGUAAACCUCUUUUAUCAAGGAAGAAGAUCUGACGGUACUUGAUGAAUAAGCCACGGCUAAUUCCGUGCCAGCAGCCGCGGUAAUACGGGAGUGGCAAGCGUUAUCCGGAAUUAUUGGGCGUAAAGCGUCCGCAGGCGGUCUUGUAAGUCUGUCGUUAAAGCGUGGAGCUUAACUCCAUUUCGGCGGUGGAAACUACAAGACUAGAGUGUGGUAGGGGCAGAGGGAAUUCCCGGUGUAGCGGUGAAAUGCGUAGAUAUCGGGAAGAACACCAGUGGCGAAGGCGCUCUGCUGGGCCAUAACUGACGCUCAUGGACGAAAGCUAGGGGAGCGAAAGGGAUUAGAUACCCCUGUAGUCCUAGCCGUAAACGAUGAACACUAGGUNUCGGGGGAAUCGACCCCCUCGGUGUCGUAGCUAACGCGUUAAGUGUUCCGCCUGGGGAGUACGCACGCAAGUGUGAACCUUAAGGAAUUGACGGCUGAGANGCGAGCGACGACGAGGAGAG
rnacentral:rRNA from 1 species